rnacentral:lncRNA from 1 species
GAGUUAUGGUCACGAAUUUACGUGAAGUGGAGAAAAAGAAGUCAAAAAUUAAAUGAAUGGUGUGUAGAUGGAGGAGGAAGAGGAAAGAACGGAAUUUUUAAAUCUCUAGAUAUAGAUGUACAGUUAUGAAAAUUAAGGUAAAUAUAACACGUAAUUUGAUCCAGUAUCUCCGACGAUAGGCCGGGAAUCACCAGAUGGAGAACGACGGGAAAGAAAUUGGGGAAGAAGACUGUAACUGCUGGUUUAACAGAAAAGAGGGAAAGAAGCGAUUUUGUUUGAAUUGAUUCAAAUGUAAGUUUUACAAAAUCUAUUUAUAAAGUUUCCUAUUUUAUUACAGCCCAAAACUAAUUAAUAUUUGCAACUUGAUCCUUUCA